GUUUGCUUCAGCAGCACAUAUACUAAAAUUGAAACAAUACAGAGAAGAUUAGCAUGGUCCUAUAUUAUAUCUAUUAGCAUAGAUAAUAAAUAAAUUAUA
ensembl:snRNA U6 U6 spliceosomal RNA